rnacentral:lncRNA from 1 species
AUACGGUAGGUAGAGAGAGGGAGAGAGAAGGUAGCAUUGGAAAUAAAGUUUGCAUACAAUGAAUAUUUUAAUCACGUAUUUUUCAAAGCAGAGAAAAGAUUUUGAACGUACUUCAGAUUUUUUUAACAAGGUAAGAUAAUUUAAGUUCAUGUGUUUUUGUUUCCUUAUGCGUUUAUGUCUAAUAAAAAAAUGCAUGAAUUGUCAGUAGACAUUCGUUUUUUUUAAAGAGAUAUGAAAUCUUACGAAAUUAUACGAAGAUCUAAGAUGGAUGUAUCGCUUAGUUACCGAUAUACUUCUUAAGAUCAGAUUGUAUGAAUUGUAAUUUUUAUUGUUAUAUAUAUGUAUAUGAAAACUGCACAUAUCUUACUGUGUGUUUUCGAAUACUCACUCUUACAAUUUUUUAAAGGUUAGUUCGGGUCGAUUGAAAUUGUGGAAGGAUGGUAAUGCAGGUUGCCAAGUGGAUCAAAUGAAAAGAAAAAUAAAUGAGUUUGCCGUCUUUAAAUUUACCAAUUAGUUUAAUUUUGUUCCAAACGUGUUAUUUGAAUUAGUUAAGA